UAAAAUAAUGAGAAAGUGGAGUAGAUUUACGAAAAUUAUGGGUAAAACUGUACGACCCUUAUCAGAAAAAAAAAAAAAAAGGGGAAGCGAAAAGUCAUUUUCACUUGGGCAAUCAAACAUGUUGCCUAAUGAAUGGUAUAAAUGCUCAUUAAGGAAGAGUAUGUGAAUGCGGUACAAAUAGGAGUAGGCUUUGAAAAAAUUUAAUAAAACUUGUGGUUUGCUCAUCAUUCGAGGUGGAAAUAAAAAUAUUUGAUGAAACUGCAAAUUAAAGAUAAUUUUGAUUAUAUUAAUCUACGAAUUUAUAUGGAAAAAAAAAAUUUUUACACAUACAUUUUUUUCUCUGAAUUCUACAAAAAUUUUAUUAAUAGAAAAAGAAUAGAAAGAAGUAAGUUACAGACUAAUCAUAUAAAUUUAUAUUUUGGGAAGCCCCAAGAGUUUUCAUGUAGACUUGUGCCAAUAGGGGUCGGCAGAACAUCCCACGAACUAUAAUAUGAACAAGUAGCACCCAGGUCAAGAUAUCCACAACCGAAUUACUUUCUCGGUACUAUGACUACAAUGAAAUUGCGUACACUAAUUGUUACAAUUAAGCGCCAUUGAAUUCGAAGCCGCUGUGGAGAAUGAAAAUGUACGCUCAAAUGGCAAGUAAGAGCCGAAACAGAAUCACUCUCAAGCCAAAUAAAAUGCCAAUCCGUAGAAUCCAGGGUGAAGAAGGCGAGCCUGGACAAAACCGAGAAAGCAUGGUAAAUGACAAAAAAUUAAAAUUUAACUAAAUACGUGUUCUUUAUUUUAAAUUAACUAAUAUGAUAAAUUUGUAUGAUACAUUAUUUUUUUUUUUUAAGUUUGAUCUUUUAAGUUAGCCUAUAACUAUAAAAACAACUAUACUUGUUACAAUAUUUCAAAAGAAAAUGAAAUAAUACUGAAUGUAACUGAAAGAAACUUAAACAUAACAAAUAAUAAGUAUGCCUAGAAAGAGAUUAAUUUAACACAACAAAUUUCUUGGGCUUAAAAGCAAAACUUUAUGAGUCGCCACAUGUUGUAUCAUUUUAAGUAGUUGAACAUGGUGCAACUACAUUUCAUUUUCAGUCGCUCUCAUAGAUCAUAUAUAUCUACAAAGCGCAAAUUCACUGAGUCUUUUUAGCGAGUAAGAGUUUGAGCGAAAAUUCUUGAAGCUUGGGUUGCAAAAUAAAAGAUGAAUUGGUAGUUCAGUCGAUGUAUUGAAUGGAAGAUUGAAGACAGUAAGGUCGUAGAGGGACAGUUGCAUGCUAUUAUUUCGUCAAAAUUUACAAAAUGACAAAAAAAAUUAAUCACACACGUAUACAAAAUAAAUAUGGUUGUCUGUCUGAUAACCAAAACUUAUGAUGACAGCUGGGGCUAACUGUGGACAACUAUCAUACAUUGAUGCGGAAUAAGACAUCCUUCCCCCUGUACGAUCGGGUAUAUAUUAAUUCACUAAUUAGGUAUGAACCUUUCAAAAGGAAACACUAAAUUGGGCUGCGCACUCUUUUAAGAUUUUUUUUAGAAAUUAACUACUUUUCAGAUAUCGAGAAAUUUUCUUAAUUAAUUGGUCCGAAAGCUCUUUAAUUGCCACGCUUUAGGAUUUUGUUAGAAACUUUCUACAUAGAUAGCGAGCGUGCGUACAUUCAUACACAUAUAUAUAUACAUGCACACGCACAUGUCUGGAUGAUUUUAAAAUAUACAAAGAGUUAAAACGUAAGAAAAAUAUAAUUUUUAAUGUACUAUUUCUUGUAUUUUAGUGCAUUAAAUUUUUGUUCUUUCAGUUUCGUAUAGACAAUUUCAAAAUGCGAACAUAUACACCUAAGCAUGACUCUAUAUAUAUAAAUUUUUCAAACGAGGGUAUAACUCCGCAUUUUAAUAAAGUGCGGGAAUCCCUAUCGAAAAAGCAUUACAUAAAUAUAGUAUUCUCUAGUAAGGAUAUCCUCAUGCUACUAAAAUAUAAAAAAAAUAUAGAUUUCAAUACUUGGUGAUUAUGUUUUCUUUUUAUCUACUAUUGCGUUGAAAUUUAUAUUUUUGUGAUUUUAAUAACUUCCUCACAUUAUUAUAUGUUAGUGGCUCCUUCCAUUACCAUCUCAACAUACUAAGGUGUUAAGCCAGUCCUACACAGGUUUUAUUUCAGUAUUAGGAUAGAAAAUAUAAAAUUAUAUUAUGUUAAUUUUUUUCACUUUUGUGAGAGUAAACUUAAAUGAGGGCACUUGUUGAAUAAACUGAAAUGGGUACUUGACCAUGUAUUUAUUUUGACGGUCGGUUUGGUUUGUCUUAGUUACAAUGACUCCAAUCAUUUAUUAGAGUUUGGUUUUGGUGUUUGCAAGUUCUUUUUUUUUUUAAAGAUUGGCAUCAUAAAUAUUAUGGUAUUUCUUUAUCUAAAAUUAUCACGUCAUUUAUAAUUUUUUAAACUAUAAGACAAUUUUAAAUGAAUUUGACAUUCUUUUUGUCAAAAUAGUCAACCUAAAAAUAUAUUUAUAUUUUCAUAGGAAAUUAGUUAACCUAAAAAAAUUAGUUAAUUGGAUUUGAUCAAGGGUUGAACCAACAAUUUAACUGGUGGUGGGAUAUCAAAUUCUGACAAGUAUCAAAACUUGGACGAAGCAUUACUAAUUAGGGUAUGACUAAGUUACUAAUUGUUUAAUUUUCCUUUCGAACUGAUGUUAUCAGUAAUUCUCUUUUAUUUAAUGAAAAUGGCGGUUUUAUCAUAAGCUCAUUUUUCACAACUCAUUAUAUUCGAAAGAAAAUCGAUUUUAGAAAAAUACAACAAUUUGAAGAACUAAAAAUAUCACAGAUUGUUAAGUUUAAAAUUCAUUAUAUUUAUAUAUACAAUAAAUCUCUAAUGAAAACAUCCUCAUUUUAAUAAAAUGAACAU
rnacentral:lncRNA from 1 species